AGAGAAGCGAAACCGUAAGGUCAAGCAAAACCCAAAAAAGUAAGUCUCAGUUCGGAUUGAAGGCUGAAAUUCGCCUUCAUGAAGCCGGAAUUGCUAGUAAUGGCAGGUCAGAAUACUGCCGUGAAUACGUUCCCGGGCCUUGUACACACCGCCCGUCACACCAUGAGAGUUGGGAAUACCCGAAGCCUGUGAGCUAACCGUAAGGGAGCAGCAGUCGAAGGUAGAAUCAAUGAUUGGGGUGAAGUCGUAACAAGGUACC
rnacentral:rRNA from 1 species